UGUAGCUCAGUGGUAGAGCACAUGCUUUUCAUGCAUGAGGCUCCGGGUUCAAUACCCAGCA
rnacentral:tRNA from 1 species